UACGAAGGGGACUAGCGUUGUUCGGAAUUACUGGGCGUAAAGCGUGCGUAGACGGUUAUUUAAGUCGGGUGUGAAAGCCCCUGGCUCAACCUGGGAAUUGCAUUCGAGACUGAAUAGCUAGGGUACGGUAGAGGGAAGCGGAAUUUCCGGUGUAGCGGUGAAAUGCGUAGAUAUCGGAAGGAACAUCAGUGGCGAAAGCGGCUUCCUGGACCAGUACCGACGUUCAGGCACGAAAGCGUGGGGAGCAAACAGG
rnacentral:rRNA from 1 species